rnacentral:lncRNA from 1 species
AGCAAAAUCGACAGAAUGUCUAGAAUAGUGUUCCCGGUUCUGUUUGGUACUUUUAAUUUAGUUUACUGGGCUACGUAUUUAAACCGGGAGCCUGUAUUAGGGGUUAGUCCUUGAGUCUAGACAUUGGUUACUUUGGGGCUGUAUUGCAGUGUUAUAUUUAGUUUUUGUUUUUGUUUUUGUUUUGUUUUCAUUUUUGCUUUGUACAGUCUGACUAAUAACUGCUAAUUUAUGACCCAAUAUGUAUAGUAUGUAUAUAAUGGUAGAGCUUACCAGUAGACCUCUAAAGGAGACCUGCACUUGCUAGCUCAUGGAAAUACAGGCAGAAAACAUCCCGUGCCAGAAGAGCCAUUGCCUUUUCAACACAUUUACCUAGGACCUAGUUCAAAGUGGAUUUCAGAUCCCAUAAUUUAUUUAUUAAUGUUCUAAUUAGAAUGAAAGUUGAGAUCCUAUGUCACACUUCGGGAAACCUUUGAUUUAGAUAUUACAUAGAGAACUAUUUCUACGGAUGCCUCAGGAUGAUCAGAGAUUAAUAUUGUCACUCAAAUAUGUGAAACAGCUAAACCUCUGGCCUGGUUGCUUUAGGAGAGUUGAACCCCUGCUAGUAUAAUUGGAAGCUUGACACACAUAAGGAGAGAGCUAGAGAUGUGAAAAAAGCAUUUAAUUACUAUGUAGAAUAUCUAUAGCCAUGUACAUAUUACAAGCAUGACAAGCUCAAGUAACUAUGAGUCACCAUGACAGGAUGUUAAUUAUGCUUAAAUAACUAUUGGAAUGUCACAGUCAUUAUAUUUUUAGCUUCAGAGUUUAUUUGAAAGUAGUAACUGAACCUUACAGUUCACUUCAAUCAUUGGAAACUACCUAACAUUAAAAAAAAUAAAAUAAAUAGGAAGAUAUAUGGACUUAGUCCUUCCAGGUGUGUGCUGUCAGCUGAAAUUUUCU